UAUCGCCAUUAAACCACCGACAACACGCCGCUAGCUACGACGCUAGCCCCUCGCUCCUGGCUACAGUGUAGGAUAGAAAACGUUCGACGCGGCGACCGUUGAAACGAAACACACCACGUCACCGUUUCCAGAAUGUGGAUGUCACAUUAAGACCAAUCAGCAACAGGUUUGUUGAAGCGCUGGAAGAAGAAGAAGGGGACGAAGAAGAAAACACGUCACAGUUAAAGGCAGCUGUCCCUCUCUGACUGAGCAGAAGAGUUGAUGCAUCACUGACACCCUGAGUUCAUUGUUAAACUGAAACACACAGAAGAAUAACAUAUUAUAUAUUAGACUAAACUAUUACAAAUACCCUUAAGAUCUCUAGCUAGUUUGUAUAGGUAAUGUGUUAAUAAUUGAUUCAUUAUUUGUAUUUAUCAGUAAAGUCUCUGAAUCAUUAAAAAAUAUUGGAAAGAAAUGAAUUGAAACUCUAGACACACUCAAGACCUUUAACUUCCACGGCGACAUUUUGUCACUAGGUUUCAAGAGAGAUUAUCUACAACUUCACAUUGUUAAAAAGUACAUUUGAUUUUUAAAACAUAUUAAAUCUGAGUAUGUUUUUCAACAGUGAACAAGUGGUUUGACAGAUGCUGAUCAUUGUUGCUUGAACUUCGUGAAACUACCCUUUGGCCUAUCUUAUUUCGGAAUUUAAUCCUUGCAGUGUAGCAAUUUGUCCAGCAGAGGGCGCCAUAUAACAAUGUCUCAGCAUAGAGGAGUCCGUAAAAACUUCAGGGCACUCACGUUGUACUUUUAACUUUGGUCAUUUACAUCAAAUAAACAUUUUAUGUGCUAUUUUUGCUUGGCAUGGACAUUGUAAAGUGUGUAAUGUCUCUUGCUCUUAAAUGGUUUUAAUUAUAAACAAUUGUCAUAUUAAAAUAAUUAGUUUAAAGAUUAAUGCAUGUUUUUUUCCAAAAUAAACAGACAGGAUGCACCUAUUUGUGUAUGUUUGUCAGCUAUAAAUUA